UACGGGGGGGGCAAGCGUUGUUCGGAAUUACUGGGCGUAAAGGGUUCGUAGGCGGCCAACUAAGUCAAACGUGAAAUCCCUCAGCUUAACUUGGGAACUGCGUCUGAUACUGGAAGGCUUGAGUGCGGGAGAGGGAUGUGGAAUUCCAGGUGUAGCGGUGAAAUGCGUAGAUAUCUGGAGGAACACCGGUGGCGAAGGCGGCAUCCUGGACCGACACUGACGCUGAGGCGCGAAAGCUAGGGGAGCAAACGGG
rnacentral:rRNA from 1 species